UACGGAGGGUGCAAGCGUUAUCCGGAUUCACUGGGUUUAAAGGGUGCGUAGGUGGGCAGGUAAGUCAGUGGUGAAAUCCCUGAGCUUAACUUGGGAACUGCCGUUGAUACUAUCUGUCUUGAAUAUCGUGGAGGUUAGCGGAAUAUGUCAUGUAGCGGUGAAAUGCAUAGAGAUGACAUAGAACACCAAUUGCGAAGGCAGCUGGCUACACGGUAAUUGACACUGAGGCACGAAAGCGUGGGGAGCAAACAGG
rnacentral:rRNA from 1 species